AUUGAACGCUGGUGGCAUGCCUAACACAUGCAAGUCGAACGGCAGCACGGGAGCUUGCUCCUGGUGGCGAGUGGCGGACGGGUGAGUAAUGCAUAGGAAUCUGCCCAGUAGCGGGGGACAACUUGGGGAAACUCAAGCUAAUACCGCAUGCGCCCUACGGGGGAAAGCGGGGGACCUUCGGGCCUCGCACUAUUGGAUGAGCCUAUGUCAGAUUAGCUUGUUGGUGGGGUAACGGCCUACCAAGGCGACGAUCUGUAGCUGGUCUGAGAGGACGAUCAGCCACACUGGGACUGAGACACGGCCCAGACUCCUACGGGAGGCAGCAGUGGGGAAUAUUGCACAAUGGGCGAAAGCCUGAUGCAGCAAUGCCGCGUGUGUGAAGAAGGCCUGCGGGUUGUAAAGCACUUUCAGUAGGGAGGAAACAGUAGCCGGUUAAUAUCCGGUUGCCUUGACGUUACCUACAGAAGAAGCACCGGCUAACUCUGUG
rnacentral:rRNA from 1 species